AGAUAAUAGAUACCCUGGUAGUCCACGCCGUAAACGAUGAGUGCUAGGUGUUAGGGGUUUCGAUGCCCGUAGUGCCGAAAGUUAAACACAUUAAGCACUCCGCCUGGGGAGUACGGCCGCAAGGCUGAAACUCAAAGGAAUUGACGGGGGCCCGCACAAGCAGUGGAGCAUGUGGUUUAAUUCGAAGCAACGCGAAGAACCUUACCAGGUCUUGACAUCCUUUGACCACUCUGGAGACAGAGCUUCCCCUUCGGGGGCAAAGUGACAGGUGGUGCAUGGUUGUCGUCAGCUCGUGUCGUGAGAUGUUGGGUUAAGUCCCGCAACGAGCGCAACCCUUGACCUUAGUUGCCAGCAUUUAGUUGGGCACUCUAAGGUGACUGCCGGUGACAAACCGGAGGAAGGUGGGGAUGACGUCAAAUCAUCAUGCCCCUUAUGACCUGGGCUACACACGUGCUACAAUGGAUGGUACAAAGGGUUGCGAAGCCGCGAGGUGAAGCCAAUCCCAUAAAGCCAUUCUCAGUUCGGAUUGUAGG
rnacentral:rRNA from 1 species